AAUAAACCUAAAUCCUGCCAACCGACUGACGCCACAGCCCCACAAACACAGCGUGUGAAAUGAUGAUUGACCUCCAUUUGCAUUUCAAGUGACCAUAUUUGAGCACUUAGGUUAGAAAACAACGCGAUUCUCACCCAGCUAAUCAGCGGGGCUCCCCCUACGUCACAGUGUGAGUCAUCGUAUAGCAUUUGACCAAUCAGCAGAGUUCUGGAACGCGUCAAACUUUCUAGUUCUUGAUAACGUGAACAAAGGGGACUUGGGCCUUAAUCUUUUCCGACACUUCCGGUGAUAACGUCCAAAUUAACCAUGCUAUUGGCUCAGCUGUUUUAUGGCAAAAUGAAGAGGACUGUGGUUGUGCCAGCCCAUCCUGCCAUCAGCAAUGAUGAUGAGGAAGAAGAUGACGAUGUGGCAGACCUACUUUGUCCCACCCGCCCAUGACUUGGACAUUCCCAGCACAAGUAAGAGGAAGUGCAUACAGCCUGCUGUGGAGGUGCUUGAGGAGGAGGAGGAGGACGAUGAGGAUGAGGAUGAGGAUGAGGAGCCAGCACCACAA